UGCCGGAUAGCUUAACGUGUAGAGCAUGAGACUCUUAAUCUCAAGGUCAUGGGUUCAAGCCCCACAUUGGGCAA